ACACUCAUGUUUCUCUUCAUAUCGUAUAAAUCUUUCGCAUUUUAUUAAAGAUCUCAGUGUAGAGGAAUACCAUGAGUACUGACAAAUUUUUGAUGUCCUGCUUAACUGUAGGAU